UACGUAGGGGGCAAGCGUUGUCCGGAAUCAUUGGGCGUAAAGAGCGUGUAGGCGGCUCGAUUAGUCCGCUGUAAAAGUCCAGGGCUCAACCCUGGGAUGCCGGUGGAAACUGUCGGGCUAGAGUCCGGGAGAGGCGAGUGGAAUUCCUGGUGUAGCGGUGAAAUGCGUAGAUAUCAGGAGGAACACCAAUGGCGAAGGCAGCUCGCUGGAACGGUACUGACGCUGAGACGCGAAAGCGUGGGGAGCAAACAGG
rnacentral:rRNA from 1 species